UUAAUUGAAGAGUUUGAUCAUGGCUCAGAUUGAACGCUGGCGGCAGGCCUAACACAUGCAAGUCGAGCGGUAACAGAAAGUAGCUUGCUACUUUGCUGACGAGCGGCGGACGGGUGAGUAAUGCUUGGGAACAUGCCUUUAGGUGGGGGACAACAGUUGGAAACGACUGCUAAUACCGCAUAACGUCUACGGACCAAAGGGGGCUUCGGCUCUCGCCUAAAGAUUGGCCCAAGUGGGAUUAGCUAGUUGGUGAGGUAAUGGCUCACCAAGGCAACGAUCCCUAGCUGGUUUGAGAGGAUGAUCAGCCACACUGGAACUGAGACACGGUCCAGACUCCUACGGGAGGCAGCAGUGGGGAAUAUUGCACAAUGGGCGAAAGCCUGAUGCAGCCAUGCCGCGUGUGUGAAGAAGGCCUUCGGGUUGUAAAGCACUUUCAGUCAGGAGGAAAGGUUAGUAGUUAAUACCUGCUAGCUGUGACGUUACUGACAGAAGAAGCACCGGCUAACU
rnacentral:rRNA from 1 species